rnacentral:pre_miRNA from 14 species
GUAUAAACAGUUUGAAAGACCCCCGGAGUGGGGAGACCCUCACUCAAGUCUCGGGAUAACGCAACCCCCCAAGAACUCACACAAGACC